rnacentral:tRNA from 1 species
GAGAAGAUGGCUCAAUGGUCAAGAGUACUUGCUUUGCAAACAAGAGACUGAACUCAACACCUAGCAUGGUUCUACUCC